rnacentral:tRNA from 1 species
GGCUAGAUAGCAUAAUGGCCAUGCAAAAGAUUGCAAAUCUUUAUAUAUCAGUUCGAAUCUGAUUCUAGCUUC